UUAGCCUGGAGGAAAUUGAGGAAUAUAACUAUGUGGCAAAUCAGACCUUUAAUACGAAGGAAGAUUUCUUCAAGUUUUACGAUGCUUAUGCACUCCAUAAAGGAUUCAGUGUCAGAAAGGAUAAGGUUAGCUACAAGCCUAGCACCAAGGAGGUGAUAUGGAGGAGAUUUGUGUGCUCAUGUGAAGGAUACAGAAUGGAGAAGCAUUUUGAAACAACGGAUCAGAAAAGACAGCCACGUGCCCUGACCCGAUGCGAAUGUAACGCUAGGCUUGAUGUGCAGAGGAGCGCAAGCAAUGGCAUAUGGUAUGUGAUUGAUUUUGUGGAUGUGCAUACUGAGGGCUUAAUGAUCCUCAAAAAGCGGAGGCAGUGGAGCUUUGGCUUGGUGGGCUUCGUCCACGCCAGAUUAUGGAAGUAAUGGAGACCAGCCACGGUGGUUCAGGAGAGACUGGAUUUCUUUCGCAGGAUUUGUACAAUUUUUUUGGGGCAGAAAAAGGGAAAGAAGGUCGCCGCAGCUCCAGCGUGUGCACCGUCCAUCGGGGAUCGACGCAGCCGCCGCUCCGGAAACUGCAGCACAGUCGCCAUGACGAACGGAUCAGAGGCAUCUCCUGCAGCACCCAAGACAACAUACUUUAGGGACCCCUAUAGACCCGAAAACACCAGCGCCGUUGAAUCCAAAUAAUUUUGAUCAGACUGGUGCACAUAGUGAAUCACCACGCGUAAAUCCAAACGUAGAGGUGUUGUAUGAUGGUCCAACGGAAUUUGAUCCCGAUGACGAUGAGGACCCUACUGUGGCCUAUGCAAAGAAACCAUACAUUUACCCAUCUACGAUUG